rnacentral:rRNA from 1 species
AUUGAACGCUGGCGGCAUGCCUUACACAUGCAAGUCGAACGGUAACAGGUCUUCGGAUGCUGACGAGUGGCGAACGGGUGAGUAGUACAUCGGAACGUGCCUAGUAGUGGGGGAUAACUACUCGAAAGAGUGGCUAAUACCGCAUGAGAUCUACGGAUGAAAGCAGGGGAUCGCAAGACCUUGUGCUACUAGAGCGGCCGAUGGCAGAUUAGGUAGUUGGUGGGAUAAAAGCUUACCAAGCCGACGAUCUGUAGCUGGUCUGAGAGAACGAUCAGCCACACUGGGACUGAGAGAAGGCCCAGACCCCUAAGGGAGGCAGCAGUGGGGAAUUUUGGACAAUGGGCGAAAGCCUGAUCCAGCAAUGCCGCGUGCAGGAUGAAGGCCUUCGGGUUGUAAACAGCUUUUGUACGGAACGAAAAGCCCCGGGUUAAUACCCUGGGGUCAUGACGGUACCGUAAGAAUAAGCACCGGCUAACUACGUGCCAGCCGCCGCCGUAA